GAUGAACGCUGGCGGCGUGCCUAAUACAUGCAAGUCGAGCGAACAGACGAGGAGCUUGCUCCGCUGACGUUAGCGGCGGACGGGAGAGUAACACGUGGAUAACCUACCUAUAAGACGGGGAUAACUACGGGAAACCGGAGCUAAUACCGGAUAACAUGUUGAACCGCGGGGGUCGAUGGUAAAAUACGGUCGUUCUGGAUCUUAUAGAUGGAUCUGCGCCGCAUUAGCUAGUUGUUAAGGUAACGGCCUACGAAGGCAACGAGGCGUAGCCGACCGAAGAGGCGGAUCGGCGACAUUAGAGGUGAGCCACCGUCCAGACUCCUACGGGAGGCAGCAGUAGGCAAUGUUCCGCAAAGGGCGAAAGCAUGACGGAGCAACGGCGCGUGAGUGACGAAGGUCCCCGGUUCGUAAUAACCUGUUACUAGGUAUGAACAACUGUCUCCGUAAACAUGCCCGUCUUGACGGUAACUAAUAAGAAAGCCCCGGCUAACUACGUG
rnacentral:rRNA from 1 species